AUCUUUUGCCCAUGUGGUUGCAGUCAAUCCAAUUUAAUUCAGAUCAGCAAAAGUUACUGAGCACAUGUGCUAGGCACUGUAGGGGAUAUAGAAACAAAUGGCACUAUCAGACAUACUCAAGUAACUAUAGUGGACAAAGGAGACGAGUAAAAGGGAAUUAAAGAGGCCUAAACAAAGGGCUGAGCAAGAACGGGAUGGAAGAGAAGAACUGUGCCUGCAGCAAGAGCCCACGCUUCCUUCCAGGAUCUGCUCCUCGGCCCCUUUACUCUAUUUCCUGUUCAUCUGCCCCUUCGUCCUGCUCCUGCUUCUGCUCAUCUCCCUCCUUUGCUUAUACUGGAAGGCCAGGAAGUUGUCCACACUGCGUUCCAACACACGGAAAGAAAAGGCUCUCUGGGUGGACUUGAAAGAGGCUGGAUGUGUGACCGCAAAUAGGAGGGAAGACGAGGAGGAAGAUGAAGGCAACUGAAUCCCAAGAGGCACCUGCAGCCAGGAAGGAAAGCUUCCUGCCUUGCUGCCUGUUUCUUCCCAAGCCCCGUGUGGAAUGUGGUGACCUAGUCAGCUGGAACCAGCUUCUGACAGACCCCGGCAACUUCUAGAUGAACCCGAGUGAACUUUCCUCAUUACCAUCCUGAAGUCACUACCCCAGGGGGAGCUAUAGCUUCAUGACCGUAACAUGUGACCUGUGUGC
rnacentral:sRNA from 1 species